CAACCUGCCCACCACUUGGGGAUAACCUUGCGAAAGUAAGACUAAUACCCAAUGAUAUCUCUAGAAGACAUCUGAAAGAGAUUAAAGAUUUAUCGGUGAUGGAUGGGGAUGCGUCUGAUUAGCUUGUUGGCGGGGUAACGGCCCACCAAGGCAACGAUCAGUAGGGGUUCUGAGAGGAAGGUCCCCCACAUUGGAACUGAGACACGGUCCAAACUCCUACGGGAGGCAGCAGUGAGGAAUAUUGGUCAAUGGGCGAGAGCCUGAACCAGCCAAGUAGCGUGCAGGAAGACGGCCCUAUGGGUUGUAAACUGCUUUUAUAAGGGAAUAAAGUGAGAGCCGUGACUCUUUUUGCAUGUACCUUAUGAAUAAGGACCGGCUAAUUCCGCGCCAGCAGCCGCGGUAAUACGGAAGGUCCGGGCGUUAUCCGGAUUUAUUGGGUUUAAAGGGAGCGUAGGCCGGAGAUUAAGCGUGUUGUGAAAUGUAGAUGCUCAACAUCUGAACUGCAGCGCGAACUGGUUUCCUUGAGUACGCACAAAGUGGGCGGAAUUCGUGGUGUAGCGGUGAAAUGCUUAGAUAUCACGAAGAACUCCGAUUG
rnacentral:rRNA from 1 species